rnacentral:rRNA from 1 species
GAUGAACGCUGGCGGCGUGCCUAAUACAUGCAAGUCGAGCGAACGGACGAGAAGCUUGCUUCUCUGAUGUUAGCGGCGGACGGGUGAGUAACACGUGGAUAACCUACCUAUAAGACUGGGAUAACUUCGGGAAACCGGAGCUAAGACCGGAUGAUAUUUUCAUCCGCAUGGUUCAACAGUGAAAGACGGUCUUGCUGUCACUUAUAGAUAGAUCCGCGCUGCAUUGUCGAGGUUGUAAGGUGACGGCUUACCAAGGCAAGGAUGAAAAGCCGCCCUGAGAGCGUGAUCGGCCACACUGGAACUGAGACACGGUCCAGACUCCUACGGGAGGCAGCAGUAGGGAAUCUUCCGCAAUGGGGGAAAGCCUGACGGAGCAACGCCGCGUGAGUGAUGAAGGUCUUCGGAUCGUAAAACUCUGUUAUUAGGGAAGAACAUAUGUGUAAGUAACUGUGCACAUCUUGACGGUACCUAAUCAGAAAGCCACGGCUAACUACGUG